UAAAAGAAAAAUGAAUGCAAAUAAAAUCAUUAUCAAUAAGAGCAAUAGCUAUCAUAUUUGCUACACAUUGAUAUGGGACUUGAUUACUAUUCAACAUAAUUUUAAAAUAAUUUCUUUCUUUACUCUAUAGAAGAUAGAAGUCUGAUUUAAAAGAUAUAUUGUUUCGUUCAGAUCAAACGAUGGUGACAGUAAUAUUAAUUUAUAUAUAAUAUAUUAUAUAUAUUAUAUAUAAUUUAUAUUAUAAUGUUUUAGAAUAAGUGUUACGUACCUACACACAUCAUCCACUUUAUUUAAUCUAAACGGGGUAUUCAUACUUAUGGAAUUUUGACACAAGAUUUCAACAAUUCGUAAACAACCAUAUGAUAACAUUCUUCUCGAAAAAUUUCAAUGGAUAAGGAGCAAUAAAAGAUGUUUCGAAUAAUGAUCAAAACAACAAACUGAAUACAGACGAGGAACUACAAACCUGCAAUGCCGCAUAAUAAUCCUCAUUCAUAUAAUCAACUCGAUUUGGGAUCUCUAUUUCAUUUGUACUUUUUUGUUUCUCUUGCUUAAAAUAAAAAGAUACGAUUAAUGAA
rnacentral:lncRNA from 1 species